UUUUAAGGUUUAUUUUAAGCAAAUUCAAUGUAUUUCUUAUAAGAUACCUCCCAAAUACAUGUUUUACAACUAAUAGGUUCAUUGACAUUCUGUGUACACGUGUAAACUUGUAAUAUAUAUUAAAAGAUGCAUAUGGUAAAAAACUACGGUUAGCGAAUGGAAAUCUACGCCACAGAUAUUUCAAAUGGAAGAGGGGGAAUUGGAUGGCAAAGUUUCUACCCAAUCCUUUUGUGUUUUGAUACAAAGUAAACCUUGUUCAAACAAUUACACUGUAUUACAGUGAAGGUUUAUUUUUGACUCUCUAUAUAAAUGAAAAUAUGUAUGUUCGUUAGUGUUAAUAGAAGGUAUGGACUUAAUUCAACCUCCCGACAUAUUCCGUAAACGGUCAGUUACAAACCUAGCCAAUAAGUACAUGUAAUAGUAGCGAUUCGGCAAUAUAUUAUAUAUUUUUGUGAAAAAAAAUCCAUAUAUUUCAAAUAUAGCCAUACCCUUGAAAACGUCAGGAUGAAAAUGUUAAAGUGCCGAAUUCUGGACGGAUAGAUAUUAAUCUUCAGUCAAUGGAAAUUUUUAUUUUUUUAUUUUUUUGGGCGCGCCAAAAACAAAAGCUGUUGACAGAAAUAAGAAUUUUAUCUAUACGCGAAUGAUCGCAAUCUACAUGUAUAUUGUACCAGCAGUUGCUCUAUGUGUAUAAAUAGGAUCAAGAAAAGGAAUGCGUUGUAAACACCUUAAAGAGAGCGGAUCGAGUUCGAAGCUUCUUUACAUUACUUACCAUGAAACCCAUUACAUGUUUACUGAUUGUAUUGGUGCUAUGUCAGCUGUGUAUGACCACAUCAGCAGCCAAGUUGUUCAGCAAUGAGAAUGUGAAGAAAGUGAAAGACAUGGCCAAAGAUCUGGGCUCGAAGAUGAAGGACGAAGUAAAGGACUUUGUAAAGAAAGUCAAAGACAUAGAUGAAAAACGCUCUAUAGCUGACAAAGUACACCUGUAAAGAAAAGCCUUCAACUGUAUGAAAAAAAGACUUAUUGAAUAAAGAUUGACAAAAUAUUGAUAGCAUCCGAUAA